rnacentral:lncRNA from 1 species
AACCCAGCAUCAUCAUCCUCUCAGCCGUGCACAUCCAUUCCGGGUUCAACUCCAUCCACGGAUGAGUUCUCUCCCCUGUUUCACGUUCAAACCGUUCUUAACCAUCCCUAUCCCAAAGCAACUCCCAGCCGCAUCCCAGCCGGAUGAGCAUCUCAUGUUCAUCUUCAUCCCGUGAGCUCUUCCUCCCGUUCGCGAUAACCUUCAACCACCCACGGGAUAA